GAUUACUGUGCAGCCUGCUCUGAAACAUGAGAGCCUUGACUUCGCUGAAGUAUCUAAAUGAGCCGGAGGAGGGAAAUUACCACAUCUAAUUACUUCUUGUCUGUGCUGGACGUUCACAGCUGUCAGGUAGAUUCAACUUCUUUCAGGAGAUAAUGACAGAGGAAAGCAUGGACUAAGACUGACAAGGAGAGGUGACUCUAGCACACACCAGCAGGGGGCGCUGUCACAAUAGAGAGGGACUCCAACCUGUCAAAGACAACCUGAAAUUGUAUAAAAGAUCCUGGGGCCC